rnacentral:rRNA from 1 species
GUCUACGGCCAUACCACCCUGAACACGUCUGAUCUCUGAAGCUAAGCAGGGUUGGGCCUGGUUAGCACUUGGAUAGGAGAGAGAAGUGCUUGUUUCCC